UCCGCCCUGGUGUAACGGCAGCACACAGGCCUUUGGUGCCUCGAGGUCCGGGUUCGAAUCCUGGGGGCGGAGCCA
rnacentral:tRNA from 1 species